UGGGGAAUUUUGGACAAUGGGGGCAACCCUGAUCCAGCAAUGCCGCGUGAGUGAAGAAGGCCUUCGGGUUGUAAAGCUCUUUUGUCAGGGAAGAAACGGUAGUGGCGAAUAACUACUACUAAUGACGGUACCUGAAGAAUAAGCACCGGCUAACUACGUGCCAGCAGCCGCGGUAAUACGUAGGGUGCAAGCGUUAAUCGGAAUUACUGGGCGUAAAGCGUGCGCAGGCGGUUGUGUAAGUCAGAUGUGAAAUCCCCGGGCUCAACCUGGGAAUUGCAUUUGAGACUGCACGGCUAGAGUGUGUCAGAGGGGGGUAGAAUUCCACGUGUAGCAGUGAAAUGCGUAGAUAUAUGGAGGAAUACCGAUGGCGAAGGCAGCCCCCUGGGAUAACACUGACGCUCAUGCACGAAAGCGUGGGGAGCAAACAGGAUUAGAUACCCAAGUAGUCCCUGAGCGGGCUGGCAAGGCGCAU
rnacentral:rRNA from 1 species